GUGCCUAAUACAUGCAAGUAGAACGCUGAAGAGAGCUUCUUGCUCUUCUUGGAUGAGUUGCGAACGGGUGAGUAUCGCGUAGGUAACCUGCCUUGUAGCGGGGGAUAACUAUUGGAAACGAUAGCUAAUACCGCAUAACAAUGGAUGACACAUGUCAUUUAUUUGAAAGGGGCAAAUGCUCCACUACAAGAUGGACCUGCGUUGUAUUAGCUAGUAGGUGAGGUAACGGCUCACCUAGGCGACGAUACAUAGCCGACCUGAGAGGGUGAUCGGCCACACUGGGACUGAGACACGGCCCAGACUCCUACGGGAGGCAGCAGUAGGGAAUCUUCGGCAAUGGGGGCAACCCUGACCGAGCAACGCCGCGUGAGUGAAGAAGGUUUUCGGAUCGUAAAGCUCUGUUGUAAGUCAAGAACGAGUGUGAGAGUGGAAAGUUCACACUGUGACGGUAGCUUACCAGAAAGGGACGGCUAACUACGUGCCAGCAGCCGCGGUAAUACGUAGGUCCCGAGCGUUGUCCGGAUUUAUUGGGCGUAAAGCGAGCGCAGGCGGUUUGAUAAGUCUGAAGUUAAAGGCUGUGGCUCAACCAUAGUUCGCUUUGGAAACUGUCAAACUUGAGUGCAGAAGGGGAGAGUGGAAUUCCAUGUGUAGCGGUGAAAUGCGUAGAUAUAUGGAGGAACACCGGUGGCGAAAGCGGCUCUCUGGUCUGUAACUGACGCUGAGGCUCGAAAGCGUGGGGAGCGAACAGGAUUAGAUACCCUGGUAGUCCACGCCGUAAACGAUGAGUGCUAGGUGUUGGAUCCUUUCCGGGAUUCAGUGCCGCAGCUAACGCAUUAAGCACUCCGCCUGGGGAGUACGACCGCAAGGUUGAAACUCAAAGGAAUUGACGGGGGCCCGCACAAGCGGUGGAGCAUGUGGUUUAAUUCGAAGCAACGCGAAGAACCUUACCAGGUCUUGACAUCCCGAUGCUAUUUCUAGAGAUAGAAAGUUACUUCGGUACAUCGGUGACAGGUGGUGCAUGGUUGUCGUCAGCUCGUGUCGUGAGAUGUUGGGUUAAGUCCCGCAACGAGCGCAACCCCUAUUGUUAGUUGCCAUCAUUCAGUUGGGCACUCUAGCGAGACUGCCGGUAAUAAACCGGAGGAAGGUGGGGAUGACGUCAAAUCAUCAUGCCCCUUAUGACCUGGGCUACACACGUGCUACAAUGGUUGGUACAACGAGUUGCGAGUCGGUGACGGCAAGCUAAUCUCUUAAAGCCAAUCUCAGUUCGGAUUGUAGGCUGCAACUCGCCUACAUGAAGUCGGAAUCGCUAGUAAUCGCGGAUCAGCACGCCGCGGUGAAUACGUUCCCGGGCCUUGUACACACCGCCCGUCACACCACGAGAGUUUGUAACACCCGAAGUCGGUGAGGUAACCUUUUGGAGCCAGCCGCCUAAGGUGGGAUAGAUGAUUGGGG
rnacentral:rRNA from 1 species